AAGCAUGCUGCAAAACGUGAGCCCAACAGGAAGCUGCCUGCAAAUUCAGGUAGCUUUUCUGCAUCUAAAAGAGGUCUUGAAGAUACCUUCAGAGAAAUGCCAGCAAAAGUUGUAGUCAUUUGGGGAAGAAUGAGUCUGGAAAACAAAUACACAGUGGACUAGCACCAAGAGGUUAAUGGCUGUGACUGGCAUGUGAGAAGAGUGAGGAGAAAUUACUUCAGUGGCCCCACAGGAGUUCAGAGCAGAGAACAGGGCAUCAUCAGGUCUGGCACUGUUCUUGAGCACCAAGUCCCUCGUCUACCACCACAAGAAGCCUCAACUACCCAGAGAUAAGGAAAGUAACUCAAGGAUGUUGGAAAAAGUACAAUAUAGAGUAUGGCUUUGGGACUGGCAACUUCUGGACUCCCCAUCUCCACUGCUGGUAAUGGCUCUUGACACCACAUAUGCUUUCCAGGAAUGUUUUUGAAGCUGAGCCCAAGAGGUUUCUCAGCUAUGCUUCCAAAGUCUUUGCAGACAGCCAAGCACAUGCCCACUACAUCUACUGCCCUCUACACAGCUUGAGCAGCUUUAUGUGCUUUAAAUAUUAACCUUCUGGUUCAGACUAUAUUUAAAGGGUGCCACUUAACACACCUCAUUCGGUUUCUGAAAACUAGUUAGAUUUCUGGAGUCAGAGUUCUAUUCUGCGUGACACUGACCACCCUCAGCUACAUUCUUUGGGUAACUCCAUCUAUGCCAGAGCACUAUUUGCAAGACAGAAUUUCUCCUCUUAUAAAAUAGAGAAGAUGUGCUUUCAUCCUUGCAGGAUAAGUGUGACGGUGAAUAAGAUGAAAGCUAAAAUUACUCAGAGAUAAAUAUUGCAUAUUAAGUGUUAUAACCACAUAUCAAUAAACUCCAUUUUUUAUUAUGGUUUCAAGAGUAUUAGGCUAUCUGCUGGCUUCACUCAUCUUAUCCCUUCGGUAAGACUGGCUCUCAUAUUUUUCAUAUAGUUCAGUUCAGUUCAGUCGCUCAGUCGUGUCCAAAUCUUUGCGACCCUAUGAAUCGCAGCACGCCAGGCCUCCCUGUCCACAACCAACUCCCGGAGUUUACUCAAACUCAUGUUCAUCGAGUCGGUGAUGCCGACCAGUCAUCUCAUCCUCUGUUGUCCCCUUCUCCUGCCCCAAUCCCUCCCAGCAUCAGGAUCUUUUCCAAUGAGUCAACUCUUUGCAUGAGGGGGCCAAAGUACUGGAGUUUCAGCUUCAGCAUCAUUCCCUCCAAAGAAAUCCCAG
ensembl:lncRNA